GUGGAAAUGGCGGCUGUAGCCGAGGGGGCGGCCGGAAAGCAGCGGCGGCGUCUGGGGCGCUUUCGCAACAUUCAGACCUCGGUUGCAGCCCGGUGCCGUGAGCUGAAGAGGUUUCACAUCUUACUCCGCCCCACACCCUGGGCGUUGCGGCGCUGGGCUCGUUGCUGCAGCCGGACCCUGCUCGAUGGGCACGACUGGGCUGGAGAGUCUGAGUCUGGGGGACCGCGGAGCUGCCCCCACCGUCACCUCUAGUGAGCGCCUAGUCCCAGACCCGCCGAAUGACCUCCGCAAAGAAGAUGUUGCUAUGGAAUUGGAAAGAGUGGGAGAAGAUGAGGAACAAAUGAUGAUAAAAAGAAGCAGUGAAUGUAAUCCCUUGCUACAAGAACCCAUCGCUUCUGCUCAGUUUGGUGCUACUGCAGGAACAGAAUGCCGUAAGUCUGUCCCAUGUGGAUGGGAAAGAGUUGUGAAGCAAAGGUUAUUUGGGAAGACAGCAGGAAGAUUUGAUGUGUACUUUAUCAGCCCACAAGGACUGAAGUUCAGAUCCAAAAGUUCACUUGCUAAUUAUCUUCACAAAAAUGGAGAGACUUCUCUUAAGCCAGAAGAUUUUGAUUUUACUGUACUUUCUAAAAGGGGUAUCAAGUCAAGAUAUAAAGACUGCAGCAUGGCAGCCCUGACAUCCCAUCUACAAAACCAAAGUAACAAUUCAAACUGGAACCUCAGGACCCGAAGCAAGUGCAAAAAGGAUGUGUUUAUGCCGCCAAGUAGUAGUUCAGAGUUGCAGGAGAGCAGAGGACUCUCUAACUUUACUUCCACUCAUUUGCUUUUGAAAGAAGAUGAGGGUGUUGAUGAUGUUAACUUCAGAAAGGUUAGAAAGCCCAAAGGAAAGGUGACUAUUUUGAAAGGAAUCC
rnacentral:lncRNA from 1 species